UAUUAUUUUUCUUGGUUUACAUGCACAUGUUUAUGCCUAUCUAUCUUUCUUUCUUCUAGGUUGCAAGGAUAAAAACUCGAGUUGUUCAUACUGGGCACAAAAAGGUUAUUGCCAACACAGCCAUGUGGACUUCAUGUCAAAGAACUGCCCAAAGACCUGUGGCAAAUGCUAAUGGCAGGUUAUGGAAAUCUCAGGAGAUGUUGUAGACUGGAUACAAAAGACUUCAUUACGAGGCUUGUUAACCUGCAGGUUCUGAUUGAUUAAUGCUGAGAAAAAAUAAAACCUCCUAUCAGA